GACUUAAAAAAUCCGUCGACUUAAAAAAUCGUGAGG
rnacentral:tRNA from 1 species